AUCUCCAGUGUUGAGUAGCAGAGAAGAGCAGUGUCUUUUUACAUCCUCCAGAUCGCAAGCAGCAGCCUGACACCCAAACAGUGACCCUGCCCAGCUCUGCAGCUUGUGAAUGGUGAGGGACUCGUGUUUCAAUGAUCCCUGCUUCAGCCAAUAGGAGGGCCCCAGCCCCAGGCUGCCGGGGACUCAGCCAAUGGGAAGUGUCCCUCCGGUCCAUGUGACUGAAUAUGCUUCUGUCCAUCAACUGGGUCAUAUAUAGCUAAUUUCAAGUGGGACAGAGGAGGAGGCUGGGUGGAAGCAUGGAGCUGUUCAAUUCCUUGUCUAAUGUCUAACCUGGUUAGACGUUAUGUGUGUGUGUGUGUGUGUGUGUGUGUGUGUGUGUGUGUGUGUGUGUGUGUGUGUGUGUGUGUGUGACUGCAUGUUCUUUUUCCAUUUUUUUCUCUCGAUCUGCUGAUUAUCCACGGACAGAACUGAACAGAACUAAACGAUUCCUGUUGGGGAAGCCAGAGAACGUGUGAACAGGAGGUCAGAAUGAGGGAGGGAGACAGGCAGAGAAAGAGCGAGAGAGGGGAGGGAGGGAGAAAACACUCCCAUUCCUCUCAUUUCCAGUCCAACUUUUUCUUCUCCACCAGACCACAUUUAAUGGAAGUCAUCCUCUGCUCAAUGGUGCCCCGUGUUUUUUUGGUCCAAUUUUUCCCUCUUUGUGUAUUUCCUUCCCCCGCUUAUAUGAUUUCUUGACAGAUUACCCUCCUUUCUCAAGCAUGGCUUCCUGUGUGACGCGGGAGAAGUUCACGGGACUUACUUCUCUCUUUGUUUGGAACAUUUAAUCCACACUCUCUCUACUCCACAUUGGAAAAAAAAGUGGCCGGCCGGCAACUUUGUGAGGAACAGUGAAGAAAAACUGCAACACAGCAAAAUGUGAGGAAAGACUUCUUCCCAAAAAAGACAAGGAAAAGAAAUGCAGCUAUAAUGAAAGUAGGGAGGGUGGGACAAGGUUUUGGUUUCAGGAAGGAGGGGGUGUUGGAAUGUGUCGAGUGACAGGAAAUGCGUCGUCUGACCGUUUUUUUGUGUAGUUUUUUUCCUUCUCUCCAACACAAAUGACAAUAUAACUCGCUUUUAAAUAUAAACCGCCCGGGCAGCAAGCAUAGACGAUUUACAAGCCCCAUUCAAGUAUUUUUGUAUGUGGGAGACCAAACAACACUCAUACAGAAGUCACAUUUUGUGGACAUUGAAUCCAAUAUUCGUACCUCUCCUUCCCAUUACGAAAAAAAAACUAAACAUGACCACUUCUUUAACCCAAUGAGUCCCACCGCAACGCAGGCGUGAUUAAACAUUGUGUGUUUGAGCUACAUACUUCUGGGUUGUACCAUUGGAUUCUAUCUCUUCUGCAUCCGUUGGUACCAACCAUUAGCCUGUGUGAUUAAAGAGCGGUGUUUGUAAGACAAGGGCGGAUCCCGACGGGGCCUGGGUCUAUUUUUCUUUACAAAAAUGUCUAUAGAGUCAGAAUGGUUUGAGCUCUUAAAGGUUAUCAUCUAUGAAAAGCUGAGACUCUAACGAACACGCACAUGUAACAUGUUUUGCUCUCUGAUGUUCACAAGCCAUACAAGAGUCGUAAGACAGUAAGAAGUUCUUCUAUAUAGAAAAUCAUAGAACAUAGUGUCUAUUAUACUGUAAUGAGCUCAAAUAGUUACUGUCACGAACUCCAAACAUAUAUAUAUAUUAAUUAUAUAUUUGUGCUUUGGCAGACCUUCAUUUCUUGUAUUGACAUUUGUCAAUAAAACCCAUGAAUGCAA